CCUACGGGAGGCAGCAGUAGGGAAUAUUGCUCAAUGGGGGAAACCCUGAAGCAGCAACGCCGCGUGGAGGAUGAAGGUUUUAGGAUCGUAAACUCCUUUUGUUAGAGAAGAUUAUGACGGUAUCUAACGAACAAGUAUUGGCUAAUUCUGUGUCAGCAGCUGCGGUAAUACGGAGGGUGCAAGCGCUACUUGGAAUCACUGGGCGGAAAGGGUGCGGAGGCGGGGUAAUAAGGCAGAAGUGAAAUCCUGUAGGUUAACUACGAGAAUUCAAUUAGAACUGUUACUCUGGAGUGUGGGAGAGGUAGAUGGGAAUCUUAGUGUAAGGGUAGGA
rnacentral:rRNA from 1 species